GUUAAUGUAGCUUAAAUUUCCACUAAAGCAAGACACU
rnacentral:tRNA from 1 species